UUUUUCUCUGUCCUAUUUCCUUCUUCUCUCCCAUUUUCUCACUCCGCGCCUCGACCGAUUUCCGCUCUCUCUCUCCCUUCCCCUCCCACCUCUUCACCUCUGUAACAUAUUUUUUGAUGGAUGACAAGUUGGUGGAGAGGUGUCCUUCAUGACGGUUGGGAUCAUCCAAGGGAAAGGUGCCUUAAAUAAGAGCAGAAGACGGACUUCAAGCGAAUCUUAUAUUUAGUUGAGAAGGAAAAAAGGUGAGUCAUACUUCUCAUCAUCUCACUCUUUUAGACAAGGUGAAUUGUUGUCCUGCAGCUAAGGCGGACAAGAUUCCUCUCAAUAAUUCAUGCUGCUAUAAUGAGCGUGAGAACAUGCCUUCUUCUUUUCGCGCUUUCAAUUAAAGCAAGCAAAAACGAGUAUUAUUAUUUUCUUAUGUUAUAUAUAAACACCUUCAUCUUUUUCUUUCAAGUCGAGCUUAUUUCUAGAAAAUAAGCUCUUUCUCAUAUCUAAUAAUAACAUUAUUAAGAGUACGAAUAUCGUUUCCCUGAUUAUUUCCUUUAUUUAAAAGGUUACGAAACAUGAAAUUUUUUUAAAGAAGAUCUGAUAAAAUAAUCAGGGUGAUUGAGCAUCUUGCAUGAUGUCAUCAGAAUGAUAACUUUCCCCAAUAUCUUUUUCAGAAUUUUUUUCUACUCAUCAUCAUUUUCAUCGUCGUGAAAAAGUUUAGUUCUAAGAUACCUUUUAAAGUCCUUAAGAUUCUCUCUCGGGGACUUUAAUAGAAGCUCGCCCAAAAUUUCAGCAAGGGCCCUCUUAGGAAUGCCUUCUGAUUAGUUAGUUGGUUUAAUUGGUUCGAGAUCAAUCAUUCAUCUUUUUGAGAAUAUUGAUUUUUAGAAGAAAUCAAACUUAUCCUACUAUUUAAUGAGAAUUCUCAUUCCUAAAUAAGGACACAACACUAAGUAAUCUUAAAUAUCUUAACUGGAACAUUUCUGACAAUAAUAUUCCACUUAAGAAUCCAAGGAACUUGAUAUAGAGCUGCAAACAUAAGGCCACCCGCAACGCGUCACGCGGGUGGCUCGUAACCCGUCACGCCGGGACGAGACGACGGCGAGACGCGUUGCAGCGUCGCGUC